ACUGCUCAAAAACAUGCUAAAUGGGCAUAUAUUCACCUGCACGCUUGAGUGCCUCCAAAAUAGGGAAAAUAUUAAUCCUAUCAUCUGAAUAGCACUUAUCAGCAGAGGAUUUGCUUAAGAAGAUUUUCUAUCUUGGCCUUUUCAAGGAGAGGUGAGGCUGUUCCAGCAGCUGGUGGGCAGCUCAGGGAAGUCUGCCUGUCAAGAGAAAUAGAAAUGGAGACUCAGCUAGUGAGAAGGCACCAGCAGAUACACAGAACUUCUCCUAAAAUGACAACUAUGUGAGCUAUUAGAAAGAAACAUCAAGCCAGUCUACCUCGUGGUGUCAUACUGCAGCAGUCAUCAGAUCAUCCCGUCUGCCUCCGCUACUUAAUCAAGCAUGAGUCUGCGAGAACACCUGAGCGGUGAAGGCACAGACAUGACUGUCUGAGGAUCACAAGAGCACAUCAGCCCUGAAGUGUGUGGGCAGGGAUGCACCCUGAUACCUUUUCGGAUGCAACCCCCUGACUGCCUCCGCUGCCUAUCCAUCACUUCAUCUUGGUGACAAGCAUUUAUCCCACACCACUCCUCGCUUCUGAAGGUAGUCUUCUAUGACAGAGGGAGGCUGUUUACACUGGCACUUCUGCUACACAUUGCUACACUUUACGUGUCUUACCAGAUAUUUGUGAUACACCAAAUGACAGGUGCGUGUCUUAAUAAGUUCUACCGGGGGCAGGAAUUAGUAGAUGAGGGAGCACGCAGCAGUGGAAGCAUCUGGUAGGAAGAAAAAAGACUGUCUUGUACUCUGUCAAGUGUAAUUAGAGUUGCCAGUUGUCAUUGCUGCUAGCGUUUAAAUAAGUUUCUCUGAUGAGAAACUAUCUGACAAAACUCAAAGACACGUAAAUUUAUGAACAACAUAAUUCCAAAAUGAUCUUAUUAAACAGUCGUGUUGGAGUCCGGUACUCUCUGACCAUCUUCUUUUGAAUAUGAUAUGGGUGAAGGGUGUGAGGCUUAAUGUCAAAGGUCAUUUGAAGGUGUUAUACAGGAUUUCUGAUUUAUCAGUGAUACAAAAUAUACUGAAAACAUAAUACUAAUGUAAACUACAUGUACCAGAAUAUAGCCACAGUUCAAUUAAUCGCCAAUGUGAUUCCCAUUACCAGUCUCUAUAAUAUGCUCACUGUCACAAUGGGGGAUGUUCCCAAUCACUGAGAAGGAAUGUGUAGAUUGAAACCAGCUCAAGGUCAUUGCUCACUUUGAAAUACUUUUGCUAGUUGUCCAGUUUUAAACUCUGUGUGAGCCUUCUUCCAUGGAUAGAAUCUAUUGGUCAGUCUCAAGCCACCAGCCUUACUGAAGAGGUAAAAACUUCAGCAAGUUGUGAGAUGGUUACACUAAAAAAGCUCUCAGAAUAAUUUGCUUUCAACAGUAAGCAUUGGGGGAGGCUGGCAAUAAGUGUUCUACAGUCUAAUUAAGAAGGAUAAACAUUUGCGGUUUUUAAUUGUGUCUGACAACAUAUUUAAUUUCCCCCUCCCAGAGUGCACCACAGCGAGGGGCACUCACAAUCCACACCCCAGCACGCUCUGAAGGUCUCACGCUGAGAGAGGAGCAGUGCAUCACAUACAGCUGCUGCAAACAGCAUCUCAGCUCUUGUUUUAGAUUCUAAUCUUUCUUUUGUUACCUUUAAUUAAUUAUAAAUAUUUGUUUCUUUGUUAUUGUAAUACUGUGUCAUUUUAUAAUUGCUUUGUUC